CUCCGUAGGUGAACCUGCGGAGGGAUCAUUACACAAUAACCAGGCGGGCUGGACACCCCCCGCUGGGCACUGCUUCACGGCGUGCGCGGCGGGGCCGGCCCUGCUGAAUUAUUCACCCGUGUCUUUUGCGUACUUCUUGUUUCCUGGGUGGGCUCGCCCGCCCUCAGGACCAACCACAAACCUUUUGCAAUAGCAAUCAGCGUCAGUAACAACGUAAUUAAUUACAACUUUCAACAACGGAUCUCUUGGUUCUGGCAUCGAUGAAGAACGCAGCGAAAUGCGAUACGUAGUGUGAAUUGCAGAAUUCAGUGAAUCAUCGAAUCUUUGAACGCACAUUGCGCCCUUUGGUAUUCCAAAGGGCAUGCCUGUUCGAGCGUCAUUUGUACCCUCAAGCUUUGCUUGGUGUUGGGCGUCUUUUGUCUCCAGUUCGCUGGAGACUCGCCUUAAAGUCAUUGGCAGCCGGCCUACUGGUUUCGGAGCGCAGCACAAGUCGCGCUCUUUGCCAGCCAAGGUCAGCGUCCAGCAAGCCUUUUUUUCAACCUUUGACCUCGGAUCAGGUAGGGAUACCCGCUGAACUUAAGCAUAUCA
rnacentral:rRNA from 1 species